UUCCGGGACUGAUACCCCAAUCUAGGGCACCCCUGAGUACCUGACCACCCCAAGCCUCUUACAUCGAUUCCCCGCUGUCUUCACCCGGUCCGUGAUCUUGGAUAUUGGCUGAGGUAUGAGCCUUUUCUCAUCCAGUGAUUUUAGUUAAACCCCAUUGACCUCCACAAAUUCGGGGGCGUGCAGGCGCACACUCUAGAUCUGCCCCUGUCACAUCACGCCAUUGCAUUGUGGCACCAUUUAAGGGCACGGGGAUGAUAAUAAGCUUUAAAACUUGUUUACUUGUCUAAUCGUAGCUGUGCUGCCAUGCCAUUCUUAGGCGUCAUAAUUUGCGUGGCUCCCGUUAAGGAGUCUUGGCUCUCUCUGGAACAUGGCAGGUCCAUUGUCAUUCUGAGUGCAUCAGCCAUGUGUUUUUUUUUUCUAGCAUUGAAUGCAUCGGAUAUGUUAAUAUCAUGCUAUUCCAUAACCUUCAUCUGGUAAAGUUACAGGAGGCAGCUACUGAUGUCAGUAAUUUCGUGUUGAAUUUUCAGGGAAGUGUGUGUGGUACUUUUAUGGUUGGCCAAAUGCAGAUAUCUUGGCCAUCCACGAUUGUAGAGCUCAUCUUGGGCCUGCUAUGGCACCUUGUCCACCUGUUGGUCAGCCUCUUUGAUUUGUGGUCGCAUCUGAGUGAUAAUCUAGAAUGCUAUCUUAUUUCGUCUGAGUUGCUGCCCAAGUACCGAGAUCUUCAUUUUGAGAGACUUAAUUACGUGGGCGUUGUAGUAGAUAGCAGAGAAGCAAAUGAUGUUUUGAAGAUCAAGCAACUUUUACGGUGGUUAUCAACUAUCGGCGUUAAGUAUGUAGUUCUCUAUGAUAUUGAAGGUGUGCUUAUGAACAUUUGCUUUACAUGCUUACUUGUUUGAGUACACAUGAUCUUAUUCUUUUCAAGUCUUCUUGGCCUAUCCUUACCUGAGCAUAGAACUCUUUCUUUCUCAAUAUAAUGUGGCAGAGUGCUUGCCUUUGACGGUGAGAAAAGAACAAGAAAAAACGAGAGUACUAGCAAUAUGCGGUAUUAAUAACUGUGAGUCCUGCUGUAUUUUAACGGUUUGCCCUUCAAGUCAUCUUCCAUAAAUCUGUGCCGUGGGAAAAACAGCCUUCAAAUUUUAUGUAUUUUGCAUGAAACUACUUUGAAACUCCGCCUAUGUUGCCCAGGUAAAGGAGGAGGGUUGUGAUAGGCUUGGCGAGCCAACAUAAAAACUCAACCAUUCUGAUGGAGAUGAAACCCAAAAGAACAUCUUUGGGGCAUAACUCUCUUAGCGACGUGCCAUAUCGGGACCCGGGUGUGGUGUUAAAUGGGUAAGGGCCAGGCCGUCACUCCCUUGGUGGCGCGCCGUACCUUGAUCUGGAUACUGUGAUAAGUGAGCAAGGAUCAGGUUGUUGCAUCCCUAGUGGCGCUCUACAUCGAUGCUCGGGUGUAGUGAAAAAUGAGCAAGGGUCUUCGCAUUUGAUUCAACGAGUGUGAAGGGUAAGAAAGCUAGCCGAGCCAACUAGGAUCCACUUAGGUCGCUGGAACGUAGGGCCUCUGACCGGUAAGUUACAGGAGUUUGUUGAUACAACGGUGGGGAGAGGCAUUGUUAUCCUUUUUGUCCAAGAAACCGAAUGGAAGGGACAUAAGACGAAGGAGGUGGAGGAUAUCGGCUUCAAGCUGUGGUACACGGGGACAACUACAAACAAGUAUGGAGUAGGCAUCUUGAUCAACAUGACAACAAGGGCCUCAAGUCUGGAGUGGUAGAUGUCAAGAGGCAAGGGGACUGGGUUAUCUUGGUCAUGCUGGUCGUUGGGGACUUAGUUCUCAAUGUUAUCAGAGUGUAUGCCCCAGAGCAAUGAGCACCAAGAGGGAGUUCUGGGAAGGCCUGGAGGACAUGGUUAGGAGUGGGUCUAUUGGCGAGAAGCUCUUAAUAUGAGGAGACCUCAAUGGCCAUGUGGGUACAUCUAACACAGGUUUUGAAGGGGUGCACGGGGGCUUUGGUUAUGGUAGCAGGAAUCAAGGAGAGAAUGUCUUAAACUUUGUUUUAGCCUACGACAUGAUCGUAGCAAGACCCUCUUUAAAAAGAGAGAAUCCCUUCUACUGACUUUUAGUAGUGGUUAACACUAGCCAUAUUGAUUUUGUCCUCUCGAGCAGAGAAGACAAACAUGCUUGCCUAGAUUGUAAGGCCCUCAACAUAAACUUCUGGUAGCGGCCUUUCGCUUCCAGAUACGUGUCCAGCAAGAUAAGCAUGCCAAAAUCGCUAGAACGAAGUGAUGGAAGCUCAAGAGGGAGGCAGCUCAGGCUUUCAAGGAGAAGUUUAUUAAGGAGGGCUCUUGGGAGAAAGGAGAUGAUGCAAAUAAUAUGUGAAGUCAAAGCGAAGCUAAAGACACUUGAUGGUGGAACGAUGAUUUCCGGAAGGCUAUCAAGGAGAAGAAAGACUGUUUCAGACGCCUAUACCUGGAUAGGAGUCCAGACAACAUAGAGAAGUAUAAGGUGGCAAAGAAAACUGCAAAGCAAGCUGUGAGCGAAGCAAGGGGUGGAGCGUAUGAGGACCUCUACCAGCGUUUAAACAUGAGGGAAGGCGAAAGGGAAAUCUAUAAGAUGGCCAGAGAGGAAGAUGAGAGAUGUCAACCAAGUCAAAUGCAUCAAGGAUGGAGCAAAUUGACUCCUGGUGAAGGACGAGGAGAUCAAGAAUAAAUGAUGAGAGUACUUUAACAAAUUGUUCAAUGGAGAGAAUGAGAACUUUGUCAUUGAGCUGGGCAACUCCUUUGAUCAUACCAACAGACAUUUUGUGCAAUGAAUGCAAGAGUCUGAGGUUAGGGAGGCUUUAAAAAGGAUGAAGUAAGGUGAGGCAACGGGUCCUAAUUGCCCAAUUGAGGUGUGGAGAUGCCUUGGAGACAUAGUGACAGUAUGACUAACUAAGCUUUUCAACCUCAUUUUCGGACAAACAAGAUGGCCGAAGAAUGAUGAAGAGUACAUUAGUACCAAUCUUCAAGAAUAAGAGAAAAGUUCAAAGUUGUACUAAUUAUUGUGGAAUUAAGCUAAUGAGCCAUACAAUGAAGCUAUGGGAGAGAGUGUCAUUGAGCAACGUUUAAGAAGAAUAACAAGCGUGACCAAAAAUCAGUUUUGUUUCAUGCCUGGGAGGUUGACCAUGGAAGUUAUUUUCUUGGUACGACAAUUUAUGGAGAGAUAGAGGUAGCAAAAGAAGGACCUCAUAUGGUGUUCAUUGACUUGGAGAAGGCCUGUGAUAAGAUACCACGGAAUGCCAUCUGGUGGGCCUUGGAGAAACACAAAUUACUUUCCUCAUCAAGGACAUGUACGAUAAUGUUGUGACAAGUGCUCGAACAAGUGAUGGAGACACUGAUGACUUUCCAAUUAAAACAUGACUGCACCAAGGGUCAGCUUUGAGCCCGUAUCUUUUUUGCUUUGGUGAGGUCACAAGGGAUAUACAAGGAGAUAUCCCAUGGUGUAUGCUCUUUGUGGAUGAUGUGGUGCUAGUCGAUGAUAGUGGGACGAGGAUUAAUAGACAGUUAGAGUUGUAGAGACAGGCUUUGGAACUGAAUAUUAGGCUUAGUAGAACUAAAACUGAGUACAUGAGGUGCAGUUUCAGUACUACUAGGCACGAGGAGGAGGAGGUUAGCCUUGAUGGGCACAUGGUACGUUAGAAGGACACCUUUCCAUUAUCGGGGUCCAUGCUACAGAAGGAUGGUGAUAUUGAUGAAGAUGUGAGCCAUCGAAUCAAACCUGGAUGGAUGAAGUGACGCCAAGCUUCAGGCGUCCUAUGUGACAAGAGAGUGCUACAAAAACUAAAAGGCAGGUUCUAUAGGACGGCGAUUCGACCCGUGGUGUUGUACGGCGCAAACUGUUGGCCAACUAAAAGGCGGCAUGACCAAUAGUUAGGUGUAGCAGAGAUGUGCAUGCUGAGAUGGAUGUUUGGCCACACAAGAAAGGAUUGGGUCCAGAAUGUUGAUAUACGUCAUAGAGUUGGGGUAGCACCAAUCGAAGAGAAACUUGUCCAACAUCGUAUGAGAUGGUUUGGGUAUAUACAACGUAGGCCUCCAGAAGCACCGCCACAUAGCGGAAGGAUAAAGCAUGCUGAUAAUGUCAAGAGAGGUUGGGGUAGACCAAACUUGACAUGGAGGAGUCCGUUAAGAGAAACUUGAAGGGCUGAAAUAUCACCAAAUAAUUAGUUAUGGACAGGGGUGCGUGAAAGUUAGCUAUCCACGUGCCAGAACCAUGACUAGGUUUCGAGAUCUUAUGGGUUUCAACUCUAGCCUACCCCAACUUUUUUGAAAUUGAAAGGCUUUGUUGUUGUUGUUGUGCAUGAACUACUUUGGACAAUUUGAGUUGUGCAUCAGAUACUGAAAGGAGAAAAUAACUAAACCUGAACCUUUUUAACAUCCAACUAAAAAGGAAAGGGAACAUGUCUCCAAACAUAUCAGAUCCUUUUGGUAUAACUAAAUAAGCCAAGAUGAGUACAUGUUCCAAACAUUCGACUGUACUGCAGCAAAACUCUUUAGUUUUUACCUUUACCGUAGGUUACACAAAAUGUUCUGUACUUGAAGUGUACAGGCAUGUUAGCAAGAUUCAGUUUGUAACAUUUUGUACAUGUUCCAUAAGAUGCUUACAUAAUAGGAACUGGCGAAAUUGAUCAAUGCUCCAUACUUUUUUUUGUUAUAUUUCUGCCAGCCCUGUCAAACAAAUAUACAUAGAAAUGUUUAGUGUCAUUUCCAGUGGUUUGGAAAUACACAAACGCACAAGUGUAAUUAGAAACUGUGGACAUCAGCUUAGCCAUCAAGCUUAAACAGGAGAAACUAGAAGCUACAUCAGGCAGAACUCAAGUUCGAUGACUAAAAUAACCAAAUAGUUUGUAUCAAGAAACCCCUCGGCAGAAACAAAGAUGACAAGAAAAGGAAAACUACUAGAACAUAUCAAGCCGCAAAUCCACACUUCCAAGGCAACAUGCCUCAAUGAAGUCUGUUCAGAUGAUUCAGGUUGUACUAGUAUUUUAGCUUACCACUGCCACCAACAUUGUCUUUGUAUUCUUCAGUAAUUUUUCCCAUCACCACAUCAUUGACUUAAUCCUAUAUAUACUAGAGUUAUAAAAUCCGACAAAAUCUUCCUCCAAAAAAUCAUACAAUUUCUCAUCCUCCAUAACUCCGUACAUACUACAGAUAGACCAAAUGAUCUUGACAUCCUCCCGUGCCGCCAAUUUCCAACAAAAUCCAUCAACCUGUCACAGUCUGAAUGGUUGAUUACAUGUCCCAAAGGGUAAUGUUUGGAUUUUGUGACCAAAGUGUACCGUAUACAUUGUUUGCCCAUGAUUUUUUUAAAUCUAUUUUUGGACAGUUACCAACAUUUUGGCAUGCCAAUGCUCCUUUGCCAAUUCCAGUUCAAUUUUUAGCCAAUGUUGGCCAACACAUGGGGAAGCAAAAUCUCAAAAUAAAAAUAAAAUUGGCUAGCCAGCCAAUGUUUGGCAGGGCAACCUUAGGCAUGAAGCAAACACACCAAAGUGUUUGUGCCUCUAAUUUGCAAAGACACUCCAUACCAAGUUCUGAUAUCUCUUUUUUUGGAGGCAUUGCACUGCCAUAGUUUUUCAUGGGAAUUUCUUGUAUUAGUGGUCUUCAUAUCUGAUUAAACAACAGUGCUAUGCAUAAGUAUCAGAAUCUGGUUCGUUUUUAGUAAAUUGUAUCAUCACCUUAACUAACCAUAACCUUUUGUCUAUCAGGUAAAUGAGAGGAGACAAGAAAGCCACCCAUUUUGUUAUGUAAAAUGUGUACUUCUGGAGCGAGCUGAAGUUUAUUAACUACAAUAUAUAGUCUUGGCGGAUACACUGUGCUUCCUUUUUGUUUGGAUCAAAUGGGUUACCUGUAGAACAUACAGGUACAAACCUCAUCCAACAUAUUUAUCUUUUCAUCAGAAUGUAACAGACUGGCAGCACAGUGAUUGUUUUGUGGAGAAUUAAAGAUCCAAUUGUCUUUACCUUGUGAAAAUUUACUUUGGUCUCGUGUUACCGCACACAAUAGUAACCGCCAAAGAUAUAUUUGUAUUAAUAUAUUGAAGAAAUUUGAUGAUUUAGUAAUCCGAAAGAUCCCCUUAUCCAG
rnacentral:lncRNA from 1 species